GUGAAGCGGCACAGCUCAAAUUUGAAAUCUGGCGCAAGCCGAGUUGUAAUUUGUAGAGGGAUGCUUCUGGGCAGCGGCCCGGUCUAAGUUCCUUUGGAACAGGACGUCAUAGAGGGUGAGAAUCCUGUAUGCGACCGGUUGGCACCCGUCACGUAGCUCCUUCGACGAGUCGAGUUGUUUGGGAAUGCAGCUCUAAAUGGGAGGUAAAUUUCUUCUAAAGCUAAAUACCGGCCAGAGACCGAUAGCGCACAAGUAGAGUGAUCGAAAGAUGAAAAGCACUUUGGAAAGAGAGUUAAAAAGCACGUGAAAUUGUUGAAAGGGAAGGGCAUGCAACCAGACUUGUCGGCGGUGUUCCGCCGGUCUUCUGACCGGUCUACUCGCCGCCGGCAGGCCAGCAUCACUUGGGCGCGCCGGAUAAAGGCGCGAGGAAUGUAGCCCCUCGGGGUGUUAUAGCCUCGCGUACAAUACGGCGCCGCCCGAGUGAGGUCCGCGCUUCGGCUAGGAUGCUGGCGUAAUGGUUGUUUGCCGCCCGUCUUGAAACACGGACCAAGGAGUCUAACAUCUAUGCGAGUGUUCGGGUGUCAAACCCCUACGCGGAAUGAAAGUGAACGGAGGUGGGAAGCGCAAGCUGCACCAUCGACCGAUCCUGAUGUCUUCGGAUGGAUUUGAGUAAGAGCAUAGCUGUUGGGACCCGAAAGAUGGUGAACUAUGCCUGAAUAGGGUGAAGCCAGAGGAAACUCUGGUGGAGGCUCGCAGCGGUUUCUGACGUGCAAAUCGAUCGU
rnacentral:rRNA from 1 species